UAGAAUCUGGCCAGAUGUUCCCAGGAGUCACUAUUUGCAUUCUCGUCGAAUUGCUUAUGCCUCAAACCUAAUAGCUUAGAAUAUUUGAUGUUGAAAUUUACUGGGGUUUCAGGAAUGAAACCCAAGGAAACCUGUGUUGCGUUAGUAGGUCGACAAUAGUCCCCCACAGUUUGUGAUAUUGGUUUGCCCAUGUGUGUUUCUACUUGAGCUGCAGAUACACAAACAAGAAAUACCUCAGUAGCACUAUGAUAAACAA
rnacentral:lncRNA from 1 species